UAUAGGAAGGUUAAGUGAGAAUGAAAUGAUCAGUCUGUUCAGAGCGACGACUUGUUUCUCGUUUUGGUGGACCACGGGAACAGACUGAGAAAGUGAGUUUUGGUUUAUUGUUUUGUGAAAUGCUUCCUUUGUCAGUAACCCAUUAUAGUUAAAGACACAGAGAGACAUGAGGAUCAACCAUCUUUACAAGACGGUAGUCUGCAGCCGUGUCAGUUUUUGUCCUCCUGAGCUGUGGAGUGUGACAAUGGUGUUUGUAUCCUGUGUCAUCAAACGCCAUUAUCACACUAAAUAGCCACGGUGUGACCUCACAACCACCUCAGCCAAUCAGAGCAGAGACACAGAAGAACUCUAUGGACUGCUGUUGUGGGAUUAUGAAGCGUGGAUACUUGUGUCUACAUGUAAAGGGUAUUUUUAUUACUGUGACAGUUAAUUGAUCAUUAGCUGUUGAAAACAGAUGGCACGUCUGCUAUUGGUAUGCCUACUGACCCAGUUGUAUUUAUCAGACGGGUUAAUGAGUACAGUAUGCACACAACAUGUGAUGCAUAUGGCACAGUUUCCUCGUAUGGUACAGGGCAUGAUGACACCUAUAAGGAAUAAUGUACAGUAUGGACCUGCUGUAGCAAUUUUUGUUCUUGGUGUAUGAAGUUUAUUGUAAAUGUAUUGUGUGUCAUGUUUACUAGAUACAAUUAUAUCAAUGUCACUGAUGGAUUAUGGAAAUGUCUUUUUUUAAGUACGUGUAGACAGCAAAAGUUAGACAAACGUUUGGGUGAUUUUAAUAAAGUGAAUUCAAUGACCAAAAAAUCAAAUGUUUACGAUUUUUCUCAAUAUCCCAGGAAGCACAGAUCCAAUAAACAAAACUAUUUUCAGUAUACAGAUCACUCAACACAGAAGGACUUCUGAUAACGCACAUAUGUCAGUAUGCUACAACUACCUGUAUAAGACUCUAGAGCUAUACUAUAUAGAUUUGCAUGAAUUAUGCAUACAGUGUAAAUUACAUAUCGUGCAACAAUUCACAGUUCUUAGGUGAUGCAUGUUAGCAGCCCAAGCUUUCCAACAGCGAAUAAAUAAGAGGACAUAUUCUACAUUGCUUUGAAAA